UCUCUAACUAACUUUUAUUGAGAGCUCUUUCUAGAUUCUAUGAGUGGUGGUGCAUGGCCAUUCUUAGUUGGUGAAGCGAUUUGUUUGGUUAAUUCCGUUAACGAAUGAGACCUCAAUCUGCUAACUAGCUAUGCCGAGGUAACCCUUCGUGGCCAGCUUCUUAGAAGGACUACGACCUUUUAAGCCGUGGAAGUUUGAGGCAAUAACAGGUUUGUGAUGCCCUUAGAUGU
rnacentral:rRNA from 1 species